AGAGUUAAAUAGUACGUGAAAUUGUUGAAAGGGAAACGAUUGAAGCCAGUCGUACUCAUGGGUAAUCAACCUUUCUGGCGCGAUUAUGUGGGCGUGUUGGAGCCUAAUCAGCCCUCGCGUUUUUAUAUUCGUUCCUUUUGGGUGUACUUGCCCGUGCGGUAGGUUAACAUCAAUUUCGGACGUCAUAAAAUGACGGGAGGAAUGUAGCUUCGGUCUCGUACUGAAGUGUUAUAGCCUCUGGUAGAUGUGACGUUUGGGAUUGAGGAUUGCAACGGAUACCUCUCGGGGCUACCUGUCUGGCCUCUGAUGAUUGCUAUGGUGCCGAAAGCUUGCUUACGGUCAUCAAAGUUGAUUGUCAAAAGGUUAGAAUGGGUUAAAUUCGUUAAGGAUGUUGGUAGAAAUCGGCUUUAAACGA
rnacentral:rRNA from 1 species